UACGUAGGGAGCAAGCGUUGUCCGGAAUCAUUGGGCGUAAAGCGCGCGUAGGCGGCCCCGUAAGUCCGCUGUGAAAGUCAAAGGCUCAACCUUUGAAAGCCGGUGGAUACUGUGGGGCUAGAGUACGGAAGAGGCGAGUGGAAUUCCUGGUGUAGCGGUGGAAUGCGCAGAUAUCAGGAGGAACACCAAUAGCGAAGGCAGCUCGCUGGGACGGUACUGACGCUGAGACGCGAAAGCGUGGGGAGCAAACAGG
rnacentral:rRNA from 1 species